UGUUUAUGGUAUCUGCACCCAGCAGUAUUUUCCUGAUGGUGUGGUAAAAGCAGUGCUACAAUAAUUCAGCAGCUGGCAUUGUUUGUUUUCAUGCUAAUGUGCUGGUUAAACUCAGUAUUUCUGUUGAAACAAGU
ensembl:snoRNA